rnacentral:misc_RNA from 1 species
AGAACGAACGACAUACUCUCAGUUCAGUAGCUUCCUCUGUUUCGCCUCUACUGUUGUUGCCUCUCUGUUCAUAUCAUAUUUUCCAUCUCCCUGUAUUAGGUUCCUUGAACUACUAAUCCAUUAUUUUACAUGAAGCAUAAUUAAUAAAUAAGUCAUUUGUGAGUUUGUGUUCUUUGUGUUUUAUUCUUGUUUUUGGUAGUGAUCAAAAUACCCGGGAUUUUACGUGUAUUCGAGGUGUGUUAUCUCUUCAUCUCUGGGCGUUUAGGACGGAUUCAAAGUAUCACAUUCUCUCAAACUAACCUCUUUUUCUCACUCUAAUCUUAGCCUGCAAGGUUUUGUGCUUAGAAGACGCUUGUCCCAACAAAUUAAUUCAAAUUUGUUAUUAUCGAUCCUUAGGGUGGGAACAGUUGCAGCAUGUAUUUUUUCCCUUCUAACAUAGAAAAAGCUACUGCCA